CUUUGGUUUGGGUUUUUUUUUUUUGUGGAGGGGUUUGGGGGUUUUGUUUGGUUUUUUUUUGUUUGGUUUUGGUUUUUAAUCCUGAUCUUGUUCAUCUUUUGGAUGUCUGCACAAUACCAGCAGGCUUGGCCACAUUCAGUAUUGACUUGGUAGGACUCCAGACUUAAAUAUGUUUUCCAUAUGAAAUAUUUAUUUCAAGGUUUGAUUCAAAGUUAAAAUACAAUGCUUGUUCAGAUUAACAUAAGGGAUUUUUUGAGACUGCUUUAGUCUUUGCUUAGUCGCCUAGAGAGGAAUGUAAAAUAUUUUAAAAUAUUACUAUAGCUUGUUUGUUCACUUCUGACAGUCAAAUUGCUACACAUCUGAGGAAUGGUGAUAUCCCUGCAACUGAGACAACUUCAAGAAGCAGACAGAAGCAGUUUUACUCUAAAAAGGUUUUUCAGAUUUUUCAUAUUCAUGUAGGAAGAAGGUCACCAUAUCCAACUGCUAAUUCCUUUGCAAGUCUGAUCUCGAAAGGUAUUACAUAAUUUUUUUCUCCCUUUCAGGGAUAGUAUUCCAGUUAAAUGGCAUUGCUGCAUAAAAGUUCUGAGUUAACAUUACUUCCUAGAUCCUGACACCAAAUUGACAGAAAAGGAAAAGAUGUUGAUUAAAGUUUGGAAUGUUCUCUGCUGAUUUGAUACAUAAUUAACAUGAAAGGAAUUUAAGAUUUUUCAUCAAUUUUCAAGAGGACCAGAGCAGGGGGAAAGUAUGAUUUAUGCAUUCCUGGCCUUCGGACACAGUGCUGAUGUGUCAGUAGUUUGCUGUUUCCUGGGAAUGUCUGUGGAAAUGUUUAGGAUUCUUCAGCUUGGAAGCACUUCUUGUUGGACUGCAGGAAAUUUACAGGUUUGUGGGUAUGAAUUGACAAUGGUCUGGAGCAGUAAUGCAGGAAAGGGGGACGACAGAGUGAGGGAACUGUGGACUUCAGGGCAAACAAGGGAGGAAGCAGAACAGCAGGAUUAAAAAAGACAAUGCCUUAUUGAUAUCUGCCAGCCAGGAUGUGUAGAUUAGUGCUGGAAGCAUCCUCCUGUACGUGGAGGAUCAGUGUGCCCAGAAAAGAGAGGAACAGGUAUUUAUGCAUGCCCAACACACUCUUUUGAAUCAACUCUCUCAGAUUGUUUUCUAGUAACUGAAGAUAGGUCACAGCAUUCUUGGGAGGGUAACAUGCACAACAUGUACAACUUUCAUCACUGAAGGGAAAGGCUUAAUAGCAGUGGGAAUAGUUAAACAUAUUAAAUUCCCUUCUAGGAGUAGAGUUCAUUCACCUUCUUACCCAGGAAAAGUUCAUUUAUGCUGUUUGCUCAGGCAGGAACUCCCUGAGGGCACAGUUUCAGCUGACCCGUGUAACCAAUCACAUGCCAUUCUCUGACUGCACUUCUUUAUCAGCCCAUUAAGUGUGGGCUUUCAGCCAGUGAGAACAUUGGAUAUUUGGCAAAGCAUUUAUAAUUAGUAAGUGUUGUGGCAGAAUAAUGGAAUCUGAGGUCUCAAAAAUGAUCAAGUGUGUCUGUUUUCAGCCAAUAAUCCCAUGGAGACAACAAAAUGGAAAGUGAUGAAUACCAGAUUGAAGGAAAUAGUAUGCAGUGUUUGGAUUUACUGCAGGGUACCCAGACUCUUUCCAGAGUUUGAUAGUGCCUGAAGACCUUACAGAGAAGGAUGCUCUCUUCCCCCUCCCCUGCCUGUGUUUAACAGGCAUUCCCAAGCCAUCCUGCCUGUACCGAUUGUUCCCAGUGCAAAACUCUUCUUGUGUUUUGACAAGAGGUGGACUUGGGGAACACGUUUUCAUAAUCUUGAAAUGGUUUGAUAUUGAGGACACAGUCACAUUGCUGGGAAGAGAGGCUGACAGAGCCUUGAAAUACACUUUCUAUAGGUGUGGAUGUGCAGACUGCUACUCAGUCUCACCAUUUAUAAAGUGGGAACCUCUUUUAUUUCUUUUGGCCAAUGAUCUAUGAUGUCUGUAGCUAGCCAUCAGCCACUUUUUGCUCUCAGGCAGGAGCAUCAAGACAUGGCUACUUUCUGUCAACCAUGUUUUUGUUUUACCUUCUCUUGGCAUGCAUUUGGCAAGCAUCAUUUGGAAUCUUCCAUGUCUUGCAGCCUGUUUCCUAAGAACUGGCUUCCAAGCUUUUGACAUUUUCUGGCUAGAUGUCAUUUUCCCAUAGCCGAAAUUCUUCUCCCUCACAUCAGUGUCUAUUUGGUGUUGAGAGCCAGCCUAUACAAUUCAUAUGAAAAGCUUUUCUGCACUCAAACUGGAGAGUCUGAAAAUAGUGUUCCAGUGGUUCAGUUUAUUAAUGGCAAGUGGGUUGGCAGUGCUUGAGAUUUUUUUUAUACUUUUUCUAGAAGGUUGCAAAGAACUGAGGUGAGGACUUUGCGAACUUGUUUACUAGCAAAUAGUGCUUCUGUGACUCCAGUGAGGGAAAUAAUCUGCCUGAACUCUAAUCAGAAGGAAUAAAGUUCCAAAAUACUUAGUUUCUUCUUUCUUU
rnacentral:lncRNA from 1 species